rnacentral:rRNA from 1 species
GACGAACGCUGGCGGCGUGCUUAACACAUGCAAGUCGAACGAUGAAGCCGGAGCUUGCUCUGGUGAAUUAGUGGCGAACGGGUGAGUAACACGUGAGUAACCUGCCCUUGACUCUGGGAUAACUGCGGGAAGCUGUAGCUAAUACCGGAUACGACCCUCGGAGGCAUCUCCUGGGGGUGGAAAGAAUUUCGGUCAAGGAUGGACUCGCGGCCUAUCAGCUAGUUGGUGAGGUAACGGCUCACCAAGGCGACGACGGGUAGCCGGCCUGAGAGGGUGACCGGCCACACUGGGACUGAGACACGGCCCAGACUCCUACGGGAGGCAGCAGUGGGGAAUAUUGCACAAUGGGCGCAAGCCUGAUGCAGCAACACCGCGUGAGGGAUGACGGCCUUCGGGUUGUAAACCUCUUUUAGCAGGGAAGAAGCGAAAGUGACGGUACCUGCAGAAAAAGCACCGGCUAACUACGUGCCAGCCGCCGCCGUAA